UAUUGCUCUUCAACGAGGAAUCCCUAGUAAGCGCAAGUCAUCAACUUGCGUUGAUUACGUCCCUGCCCUUUGUACACACCGCCCGUCGCUACUACCGAUUGAAUGGCUCAGUGAGGCUUCCGGACUGGCCCAGGAGGGUGGGCAACCACCCCCCCGGGCCGGAAAGUUAUCCAAACUCGGUCAUUUAGAGGAAGUAAAAGU
rnacentral:rRNA from 6 species